AGAUGCUAAGAUGAAUACAUGGUUACUACACUUAAAAUUUUUGCUUUGGGAGGCCAAGGCGAUGAAUAUACAGUGUUAAUGGAACACAAAUCUCUAUUAUGUCCUUUCAAAGUAUCUAGAAAGUGCCUGUCUUCUUAAACAUUUGGUUUUAUUAACUCAUUCAUUUUUCUUACAGUUUUAGAUUUCUUUUUAAGCAACCUUUCUUCCUGCACACUGACCUAUGUCUUACUUAAGGAAUUUUUUUUUUUAGAAGUCUCGCUCUGUCGCGCAGGUUGCAGCGCAGUGGCGUCAUCUCGACUCACUGCAACCUCCGUCUCCCGGGUUCAAACGAUUCUCCUGCCUCAGCCUCCCGAGUAGCUGGGGAGGCGCCCGCCAUCACGCCCGGCUAAUUUUUAUAUUUUUAGUAGAGACAGGGUUUCACCAUGUUGGCCAGGCUGAUCUUGAACUCCUGACCUCAGGCAAUCCACCUCCCUUGGCCUCCCAAAGUGCGGGGUUUACAGGCGUGAGCCACCGCGCCCGGCAAGGAAUUAAUAUUUUACUAAAACAGUUUUUAGAAACACCAGGGAAAGGCUCAGGGCUAAGUAUUUUAUUCCAGUUUGUUCUAACAGCCACGCCAUAGCAGACGUGUGACCACCUCCACCAGCCCUACGAGGGGUAGAACUGAAGCCAAGGCCCCAGUCACGGGCCGGGCUUCAGAAUCCAGGCUUCCCUGCGGCCAGCGCCGCUGGCUCCCUGCUCCCCGAGAUCGCCUCCCCAGUAGCUGAGAAUACGCUGAGUUUUUAUGGUUUCACAUUCAGACUAAGCCGCCCGCGACCUUGUAGGUAAAGAUGAAUCCGAAUGGGUCGGCGCGCCUGUUUCCUAGGGUAC
rnacentral:lncRNA from 10 species